CCUUCAGUGUGUGGCUGAAGGCCCCAGGAAGCUGCUGGUGCAAAUCCCAGAGUCCAAAAGCCAAGGAACCUGGAGUCUGAUGUCCAACGGCAGG